UUUUUUCCUCAAAUCAAGUAGGACUACCCGCUGAACUUAAGCAUAUCAAUAAGCGGAGGAAAAGAAACCAACAGGGAUUGCCUCAGUAACGGCGAGUGAAGCGGCAAAAGCUCAAAUUUGAAAUCCCCCCGGGGAGUUGUAAUUUGAAGAUUGCGUCUUGGAGGCGACCGUGUCUAUGUUCCUUGGAACAGGACGUCACAGAGGGUGAGAAUCCCGUGCGGCACGGCCCCCGGCUCCUUAUAAGGCGCUCUCGACGAGUCGAGUUGUUUGGGAAUGCAGCUCAAAGUGGGUGGUAAAUUCCAUCUAAAGCUAAAUACAGGCGAGAGACCG
rnacentral:rRNA from 1 species